GAUUCAAGAUCAGUCACAGCCAACUGAGCCAAGCCCAGGAUGCAUAAAUGAAAGAGGAAAUCAUUGGAUCAGAUGCUGCGACUGCCACGAUAUCUAUUGGUUUAAUAGAUGGAGAACUGUGGACGCGAGCGCGUGGUGGGGUUUUACAACGAUAUUGCCGUCAGUGUGUACAGUGCGCGCAUGUCUCGGGUGGGCUGUCCGAUUGUUUGCACGUGAAGUGAAAUGAUUUUCUCAGGGUAAAAUUUGCUAGAUUCAAGGAAGGAUGGAUUUUCAAAAAGGCAAAAACCCACUCCAGUGUGGGCUAAACGACAGUGUUUCGUCUUUGGGUUGGCCCGACAGGUUUCAAACUCUGCGUCUGACAAUUGGGCUUCCAGAUCAGGCUUCUCAAAAGUGGAAGUGGAUCUAGGGCCUGUUUUGGGUUGGGCCAACUUGUAACCCUUUUGCCAACCCUUCCUGGUUCUUUGUUUGCGAUGGCUAGCAAUUAAUAGACCUUUAUAUGUCA